rnacentral:rRNA from 1 species
AUUGAACGCUGGCGGCAUGCUUUACACAUGCAAGUCGAACGGUAACAGGUUAAGCUGACGAGUGGCGAACGGGUGAGUAAUGCAUCGGAACGUGCCCGGUCGUGGGGGAUAACGCAGCGAAAGCUGCGCUAAUACCGCAUACGAUCUAAGGAUGAAAGCGGGGGACCGUAAGGCCUCGCGCGAUCGGAGCGGCCGAUGUCAGAUUAGGUAGUUGGUGGGGUAAUGGCUCACCAAGCCAACGAUCUGUAGCUGGUCUGAGAGGACGACCAGCCACACUGGGACUGAGACACGGCCCAGACUCCUACGGGAGGCAGCAGUGGGGAAUUUUGGACAAUGGGCGAAAGCCUGAUCCAGCAAUGCCGCGUGCAGGAAGAAGGCCUUCGGGUUGUAGACUGCUUUUGUACGGAGCGAAAAGGCCUCCUCUAAUACAGGGGGCUCAUGACGGUACCGUAAGAAUAAGCACCGGCUAACUACGUGCCAGCCGCCGCAGUAA